rnacentral:lncRNA from 1 species
CUUAUUAGGAAUUCUAACCCAGAAAAUAUUAUGAAAAUAAAUAUACUAUUUAAUAAAUAAAAAAAUAUAGUAAUUUAAAUAUACACUUCUGACUUCAGUUAAAAUUUAAUGCUUUAUUUGUAUUAUAGGUAAAUUUCCUAUCUUGUAUAUGUAUGUCUUCUCUAGUCUAAAUAAUUCAUUAAAAAAUAAAAAAAAAAAUAAAAAUUGGAAGAACUAAAUUUAUAUAUGCAUUACUUGGUAUGCUGAUCCCCCUGCCCCAAAAAUGAAUCCAGCAGGGAAACUUUUCCGAGUGAGGUUACCGAUUUCAAGAAGAGGAUCUUCUGCAUUUGUGAAAGCAAAUGUUAAUGAUAUCACAACAAAUAGAGCAAACAUAUUAUUGGCCAUAGUAAUCAUAUUUGUAUUACUUGCUUUACCACUUUACUUUUUGUGUUUGAGUCACUGCCUAUUUAUACUGGAUGGAAGACUUUGCCUAUUAAUCCAUGUGCUAGUUUAAUAAUUAUAUUUAUUGAUUAUAUAUUUUUUGGUACUAUAUGAUAUCGGAAGGAUACUUGUGAUGUGGUCUUUAUUAUAAUAAUAAUAAUAAUAAUAAUAAUAAUAAAUAUAACGGGUCUAAACAUUCACACGUGUUUUUUGUCCAUCAUCGAUUUGUGAAACUAAAUGCUCGGCUUGCAUAAUUUAUAUUAUGACAGCUACAUGUAUGUUUUUUAAUAAAGAAAAUUUAAUUUUUUACUAAAAUAAAUGAAAAUUUAUUACAAAUGAGAAAAUUGAAUAUCAACGGCUAAAAAAUAUAACUUAAAUACAAUUCAAAUGGUAGUUGCAACAAUCACUACGUGAAAAAAUCUAUUUUACAGUUUUUUUUAAGUCAUUUACAGCGUUUUUUCAAAAAAAUAAGUGUUGUAGCAUCCAGUGCUGUAAAAAGAUACAACAACGUUUUUUAAAAUAAAAAAACGCUAUAAAAUAGUUAGAUAUAUUGUGCGCUUGUUAUACUCGAUUUACAGUGCUUUUUGAAAGAAAAAAAACGAUGUAAAAGGUGCAUUCAAUAGAUGCAUCAUUAUGCACCUAUUACAGUGAUGUCCUUUAAUUUUUUUUCUAAAAUCAUUUUCAUCCCGAAUCAGUUGAUACAAUCAACACACAACAACAAAACUAUAUAACUUUAUAAUUUAACUUUAUAACUUUACAUAUUUACACAAUCAGUUCACAACAUAUUCAUAUACAUAUUCACAUAUUGACAAUAUCACAGAACUAUAUACAUAUUCAUAUAACUACAUAUUCACAACUUUUCAAAUGUACUCUAUUCAUAUACAUAUAACUAUCAGAACUACACAUAACAGAACUACCAUAUAUUCAUAUAACUAUCCCUUGCAAUAUGUCAUUUCCCAACAAAUCAAAUAAUUUUCAUUUUAAUCACAUACUGACACCAGUCUUCCUUUAUUUCAAUUAGAUCUCUUUCAGAGUAUGUUGGACUANNNNNNNNNNNNNNNNNNNNNNNNNNNNNNNNNNNNNNNNNNNNNNNNNNNNNNNNNNNNNNNNNNNNNNNNNNNNNNNNNNNNNNNNNNNNNNNNNNNNNNNNNNNNNNNNNNNNNNNNNNNNNNNNNNNNNNNNNNNNNNNNNNNNNNNNNNNNNNNNNNNNNNNNNNNNNNNNNNNNNNNNNNNNNNNNNNNNNNNNNNNNNNNNNNNNNNNNNNNNNNNNNNNNNNNNNNNNNNNNNNNNNNNNNNNNNNNNNNNNNNNNNNNNNNNNNNNNNNNNNNNNNNNNNNNNNNNNNNNNUAUAUACAUAUUCAUAUAACUAUAUAUUCACAACUUUUCAAAUGUUCCCUAUUCAUAUACAUAUAACUAUCAGAACUACACAUAACAGAACUACCAUAUAUUCAUAUAACUAUCCCUUGCAAUAUGUCAUUUCCCAACAAAUCAAAUAAUUUUCAUUUUAAUCACAUACUGACACCAGUCUUCCUUUAUUUCAAUUAGAUCUCUUUCAGAGUAUGUUGGACUAGAAUUGUUAAAGUACUGUGUGAUAUAAAAAUUGAACAUAAAUAAGUUUGAAUAAAAUAUAUACAUAGUUUAUAUAUGAAAAUCAAAUAAUGAAAAAACCGGACCGUUUCUAGAAUUAUAGUUUGAUUCAUAUCAACAAUCUCCUUCAUGAAUCGCAAUAUAUAGUACCCACAGUCGAUGUUGUUAGUUUGACGAGGGCACUAUAAAAUAAAACAUAUAAGUCAAUAAAUAUUUGUGCAUUGAUAGCAGUAUAAGUUCAACAUGCAUUUUAGUGAAACAAAAAACUAAUAAAUACAAUACAUGAAAAACAGAAGAACAAUAGGAUUAUGGCGCAUAAAUACAAACAAAGGAGAACAACGUAGAAAUACGAACAGUUCGUAGGAGAGUAGGGUUCGCAGAAACAAAGAUGGUUGGCAAUGACAAGGAGAAUGAAGAGGAAACAAGCGUAUGAAGUUUACGUAAUGAGAGUUAGUAACAAUGCAAUAUUGUUCGUAGGGUUCGCAAUGAGAAGGAGAAUGAAGAGGAGAAGGAAACAAGCGUAUGAAGUUUACGUAAUGAAGAGGAAACUGAAGCGGUUUAGGAUUUAGGGUUUAGGGAUAGUAUUUGAAUGAGAGUUGGUAGGGAUAGUAACAAAGAUGGAGAUGGUUCGCAAUGGAGAUGGUUGGCAAUAUGGUUCGUAUGGACAAUAUGGUUCGCAAUGAGAAGGACAAUGAAGAGGAGGAGGACUUUGAAGCAUAGUGAAGUUUACGAAAUAAAGAGGAAACUGAAGCGGUUUAGUGUUAUAUAUAAAACCCUAUUACAACGCUCAUUGAAAGAGCGCUAUAAAAGACCUCCUUAACUUAGUUUUUUUAAAAGCCUAUUACAACGCUCAUUGAAAGAACGCUGUAAAAAACUCCUUAACUUAUUUUUUAAAAGCCUAUUACAAUGAUCUUUGACAGAACACUGUAAAAGACCUCCUUAACUUAAUUUUUAAUAGCUUAUUACAGCACUCUUUGAAAGAGCGUUGAAAAAAGACCUCAUUAACUUAUUUUUUAAAAGUCUAUUACAGCGCUCUUUGAGAUACGUUCUUACUCAUAAAAGUUUCAAAAUGAUUAUGAGAAAAAUUGAUAUUUAUAAAAUUGAAUUAUAAAGAGCAGACUUUUGGGGUGGACAAACAACCCAAUAACAGAGGGCUUCCAAUAGGAGAACAUCCAAAAAUUUUUAUUUUUAUAAUAUAAUAAAAUGAGAGUGAAUUUUAUUUUAUUUUUUAUAUAUCUUUUAAAUCUUUAUAAAAUUAUGACAUUUUAAGUUUAUUAAUCUCUAAAAAAAAAUUAUUCACUUCUAGUAUCUAUUUUUACUUUAUAGGAACUAAAUUUUUAAUUUUUUACAAAAAAGAAAAACUUUUCAAAAUAAAGAGUAAAAGUAAAUAAUUUUUUUCAAGAACUAAAAAGUUAAGAAUUUUUUUAUAAACACUAAAAAUAAUAUUAUUUUACCUUUUUUUUAAUUAUUAAAAUUAAACUUUCUUUUUAUUAAGGGUGUCAUUUUUAAUAUUAGAAUUGAGUCUCAAACAUGUUUUAAGACGACCUUGAAUUCCACAAUGAACAAUUCAAUCGACCUUUUCAUACAAAUUAAAAAUAUAUAUAAAUUUAAGAAAGAAGAUUAUUUUUAUUAAAAUAUUAUAAAUUAUUGUUCAUUCACCAUGAAUUACCAUAAUGCAAACUAAAAAAAUAUUCAACUCAAACUUAUGCCAGCAUUAUAAAUUAGCAUUUGCAAUUAGAGAAAAAGUAAUUAGUGAGUGGCAAGUAUUUUAUGUUAUUGAAUUUAUAAAAGUUAUUGUUGGAAAUAUAUAAAGUAAGCAACGAUUAAUAAGCCAAAUUGUUUGAACUGUAUUUAUCCUAAAAAGGUUACUGGCCCAAUACGCUACGAGGUCUAAAAUAAAAUUAUCAGAUGGAGUUUUUUCAAAGUUAAAAAAUAAAUUAUUAAUAUUUUUAUUUAAAAUUGAUAUUUUGCACUUUUUUUGAUACAAAAUCAUUUAUCAAAUUAUUGAUAUUAAUUUCGUUUAACAAUUAUUUUUCAAUCGAUAGUAAAGCUAAUCCAUUUAAUCUUUCUUGUGAUAUCGUUGAUCUUAAAUAAGAUUUAAUUAAUUUGAGUUUCGAAAAAGCUUCUUUCUGCUGAAACGACAGUUACAUGAAUUGUUAAUAUUAUUCUAUAAGCAAUAUAUGCAUUUGGAAAAGAAUAUAACCUUAUAUAACCAUCAAUGUCUGAGUUGUCGUUAUGUUUUAAAGAAUGUUCAAGGUUAAUGCAAUUUUCUUUUAAUUUUUUAUUAUCCAAUUAUUUUAAUUUUUCAAUAUUAAAUAGAAAACAAAAAAUAUCUGCACCCAAUUUAAAUUGUUCAAAUCUACUUUGAAAUGAAGUAAUUGAUCUAUCAAUUAUGUACCAAUUUUAAAAUACUCUUCAGAAGAUUGUACAAUGUCAUUAUCAUCACUUUCAUCAAAUUGUUUCUUUCUACGAAUAAUACGUUUUUCUAGAAACAUAGGUUCUAUGUCAAUUUCAAUAGAAAUUUCUUUGGAAGAAAUCAUUGCAUGUUCAAAUCCAUUUUCUCUAUAUUUUUCAAAAAAUAAAAUAAGACAUUUCAACUGUUCUAUAACAACAUUAAUACACAAAUAUUUUGAUUGAAAAUUUUUACUAAUUGAGUUUGCAACAAAUAAAAUAUCAUACUAAAUAGUCAUUAGCAAAAAAUCAAAAUUUUCAAACUUAUAAGUUUCUAAACAAUCGGCUUCACUUUUUAUUUUAGGAUCAUCAUUAACUUCACUUAAUUUUAAUAAAACAUCUCUUAUUUGAGGAGUUUGAAAAUGCAAAGCUUUAACACUUUUAAUGCGACUUUCCCAACGUGUUUGUGACAAUAAUUUUAGAGUUAAACUAGGGAUAUGAUCUUACAAAAAAUUUCAUCUUUUAGUUGAAGAAGAAAAUAAUGUGUAUAUACGUUGUACCACUCCAAAAAAAGAUGUAACUUUAGAACAACAAUUAGCCAUAUCACAAAGUACUAAAUUUAGACUAUGGCAACCAAAAAGAGUGUAAAAUGGUCUACGAUUAAUAUCUAUAAACCUUUUUUGCACACCUUGAUGUUUCCCUUUCAUAUUUGAUCCAUUAUCAUAACCUUAUCCUCUUAGAUUAUUAAUAUCAAGUCUAAUAUUAUUUAUUUCAUUUGUAAUUGUAUCAAAGAGACCUUUUCUAGAUGUAUCAUCUACGGUUAAAAAUUCUAAAACAUAUUAAGAGAUUUGUAUUGGAGUUGAUGAAAGAUCCACACAUCGUAGCGUAAAAGACAUUUGCUUUUGAUGAGUUAGAUCCGGAGUACAAUCAAGUAUGAUUGAAAAUUAUUUUGCAUCAACAAUAUUUUUUUUAUUUAUAAUUUUUAUUUUAAUUUCAUUUGCUAGCAAGAUUAUUAAUUCAUUUUGUAUUCUAUGUCCACAAUAGUGGUUAUGAAUUUCGUUGUCUUUAACUCGAAGAACAUGUUCUUGCAUUAUAAGAUCAAAUUCUGCAAUAAUUUCAAUUAGACUUAAAAAAUUCUCAUUAUUUUCUUGAUAUAACUUUUCAUUUGUUCCAUGAUAAGCUAAGUUGUUUCUUCCAAGAGUUUUAACAAUAUCAAUAAUUCUAAAUAAUACAUUUCUCCAAUGUUCUUUGUCCCUAUUUUCUUUUUUUAACAUCUUUGUCAACUAUUUAUCCUUUUGACAAUCUUAAAUCUAAAUCUAUCCAUUAACUCAUGUUACCGAUGUGUUUACUACUUGUCUCAUGAUUUCUUAAUUUAUAACUAAUAUUUCUUCAAUUCCUACUAUCUUCAAUAGCCAAUUUACUUGUACUGGGAAGAAUAUUAAAUAAUUUACAACAAAAACAAAAUGUUUUAUCCAAGUAUUUAGAAUAAACUAACCAUCUUCUUUCUCGUGUUUCUCUGUUGGAUAAAUUUUGAAGGUAAAGGGACGAAGAAAAGUGUUUUGAAUAUUCAUCCUUAUGAAAAUCUAUAUCAAUAAUUUUAACAUGACCUUUUUCUACCAAUAAAUCUCUCAAACUUGUUUCAAUAUUUGUCCAUUGACUUGAAUCAUAUAUAUUUUUGGGAAUGAAUUCUUCUAAUUCAUUGAUUUCUUGAUUACAAACGAACUCUAAUUCCAUAUUUUCAUUUAUUUCUACAACGUUAUCCAGCUCAUUCAACGAGCAAUCACCACUAUUUUUAAUUUUAGUUUUUUUGGUUGUUUUGAUAAACUUAUCGAUAGCUCCCUUUUGCGAUUCAAUAAAAGCUUCAAUUUUUUGUUUGUUUGUAAUUUUGCAUAGCCUAAUUCAUAUCUUCAACAAUAUUAAAGAUAAUUAGAUAAAUAUUAGAACAAUAGAACUUGGUCGAUAAGAUACUAUUUGAAAUAAAAAUUUCUUCUAGUUUCUGUUUCAGCCAAAAAGAAAUGGUUGAUCCAGUUACAAUUGAAAAAAAGAUUAAUAAUUUAGAAAAAAAAAAUAUUUACUUAAUAUUUAACAGAUGAAAAAGAGACGGAUAAAUUAAAAAUACAUCCCUGGGUAUAUUAUGGCCACAAACAAAAGCUAAUCACACAAUGAAACUUCAAAAUAAAAAAUAAAAUCUAAACAAGGAACAAGGAAGUAGGAUCAAAGGUGAAAAAACUUUUGCAACGUUGAGUAGCAAAAUUUCAGACCAAUCUUUCAAUAGGAAUGUGAUAUUUUAGGAGACACUUCUAGUAAAAAAACAAUAUUUUGCCUUUAAUAUAAGAUAUUUUUUAGUGAAAAGGAAUGCAUUUAUGAUCAAAAGAUUCUUCCAAGGGUAUACUACCCUAAUCUUCAUAAAUAGUUGCAUCAAUUUUAAUUGACUAAUAAUACAAUCAACACACGACACACAAAUGAUUAUGCCAAAAAUUGUAAAUUAAAUUUUUUUUGGAGGCUUUUAUGUGUAUAAUCAAAUAGUUUUUAUAAUAUAUCAUUGGACCUGGAUACUGUGUAUACUGUAUAAAAAUUAAAAUAAAAAAAAUUAUUUUUUGACGAGACUUAAAAUAACGACUUUAUGUAUAUCUUCCUUAUGUCUUGUAGAGCUGUUAAUUUGAUAAACCCCAUAAUUAUUGGCUCCGGCCCACAUAUUGAAGGGGUCAAAAAAAUUUAUAAUUUUAAAAGCCCCAAAAAACAAGGCCCCCUAAAAUUUUGUGGGCUUAGUGGGCCCAUAGGCCCACUUAUUUAAAAAAAGAAUCGAUUUUUUUUUGAGAAAUAAAGUUUUUCGAUUUUUUCACCGAUAAUUUUUUUUUGAUUUUUUUCGAUAAAACGUUUUCGAUUUUUUUCUAUAAAUUUUUUUCGAUUUUUUACAAUAAAAAGUUUUAGAUUUUUUUCUAUAAAAAUUUUCGAUUUUUUUCUAUAAAAAUUUUCGAUUUUUUUCUAUAAAAAAUUUCCGAUUUUUUUUCGAUAAAAAGUUUCUAAUUUUUUUCAAUAAAAAUUUUUUGAUAUUUUUUCGAUAAAAAAUUUUUGAUAUUUUUUUAUAUAAAUGAUUUAUCUUUUAAUAAUUUUUUUUUUCUCACAAUUUUUUUAGAAAAAAAAUAUUUUUUUAUUUUUUUCGAAUAAAAUAAUUUUCGGAAAUUUUUUAAGAAAAAAAUCUCAAAAUUAACAAAAUAUUGAGGGUCUAUAAGUCCAUAGAGCCCUUCCCUUAGACCCCAUGAAAUAAUGAGACUAAAUUUAAAAAAAAAUUAAUUUGAUAGGAAACCUAAUAUUAAAAAUUUAAAAAAAAAAAAUUUAAGAGACGUUAUUGUUGGAGGUUUUUGACUGCUAUGAUGUCUUGACUCUAAAAAAAAUAUUGCUCCGUAUUGGUUUUUUGUUCACGUGACUAUGAUGGGCACGUUCAUGCAUAGGACCACGUUAUCCGUUACCUUGUGCCAUUGCACAUGUGAGUUAUGGGUAAAGAGUUAUGUGUGAUAAGGACAUUAUUAAAAAGCCAAAAAUAAUAAAAUUUUAUUAUAAGUGUUGUUUUAUUACAUUUAAAUUUUAAAGUAUAUAAUUUUUAUUAAAUAAUUAUUUUAUUUAGAACCUUAAAAUAAAAACUUUACCUAAUCUGAGAAAGAGUUUUUUUUGCAUAUUUUAUAUAUAAAUUUUUAUUUUAAAAUAGAGAAAUAUUAGACAAAAUUCCUACCCAAAUCUUAAUAAAUGAAAAGGUAUACAAAAAUUAUAAUUUGCGAAAUAGAAUAUUAAUUUAAUAAAUAAAAAGAUGAAAAACAUGAGAAAUUUGUGAACCAGGAAUAGUCAAGAGAGACUAAUUUUAAGCUCAAAUCAAAUUAAAUUACUUUUUAAAUUACUGUCAAACACAUUUAUCUGUGCGUAAGUAUUCUCAAUUUGUAAAUCGAUGAGUUGUAUAAAAAAUACAAUUGUUGCUAAAAGAAAACAAAUGUCAUUUUAAAAAAUAAUAAUGAACCUUUUUAAUAGCUCCUAAUUCCAACCUCACUAUUAUCUCCCAAUAUUGCUAGCAUUUAUUUUAUUUACUGCAAAAAUACACUCCAAAUAUACGGAGAAGUGUGUAAAACUAAAAACAAAUAAAAAUAUUAACAAAUAUAUUCUUAAAAUUGUAAAAUAGUAAUAAAAAUUGUUCAAACUUAAACUUCAUCGUUAAAAAUUAUUAUAUGACAUAUUAAUUGAAUAUUUGAACAAUUCAUGUUGAUCUCAUUUCGAUGUCAUCAUAACAUGAACUAAAUUUUCAAUAGAAUUUAAAAUAUUUUAUGCACUAAUUUGUCCAUAAAUAGUCCAUAUAGUAUUACAAUUACUCACAAAUUUUUUUUUGAGGUAACAAAUUUCAUCAGCAAAUUUUUUAUAAAUGUAGAUAAGUUAUAUAUUCAAUUACAAUAUCACAUCAAAAUAUCUAACAACAAAAGUUUAUAUAAAAAAUAUUUUGAUUCAUAUCUUACAAUUUCAAUUAUUUAUUUGCUAAUUGACCAAAUUCAAGGACUAGCUUACAAUUUUGAUUCAUAUCUUUCUAUUUCAAUGAUUUAUUUGCUUAUAAUGAUAUUAUGAUAAAUAUUCCUCAUGGGGAUAAAAGCUUGCCUUAUAUAGAGAGAUGAUGUUAUUGAACAAAGAUUUUAUACGAUUCACCAUAAUUUUGGUAACCAAUUUAUAAAUCACACUGCAUAGAGAAAUCCUGAAAUCCAAUCUAACAACCUCAAAUAAAAGAAUCACAAAUCAUAAAGGUAUUGAUGUUUACCACAAAAUUCCUACAACCCCAAAAUUUUCUACCUCUAUUCGGAUCCCAUUUUGUUAUUGUGCGCAUCAUAUGUUUCAGACCACAAACACAAUUUGACAUCUCACGAAUUCCAUUGGAAACGAAAGAACCAUAGUUAUAAGACUAUGGACUUGACCCAUUUGAACAUGUGAAGACCAUGUAUUUCAAUCCUUGGAACUCUGAACAUCAAUUUUCAUGGGUGGGAGAGGAGAAGAACAAACAAAUGUUUUCGAUCUAUGAAAGAGAACAAAACGGAACUGAGAGUAUUUUAAUGUUGCCUUAACGGAAACCCAUUAAAAGGGUAACAAUGCAAUUAUUUAAAAACAUAAAAUACUGAAAUGAGAAAAGAAAAAAGAAGAUAAAGAACUAAGCCGUUACCUAAAAUUAAGUUAAGGGACAACAUGGGUAAUUAUGUCAAAAAUAUAUUAAAUAAAUGAUAUUUUAUAGAUAUUAUCAUUUAAACAAGAUAUUAUCAUUGAAAAAAUUUAUUUACAGUACUUGAAGAGACCAGUUACUAUGAGGGUUUUCAUAAAGAUGAAAGAUAUUAAGAGAUAAUGGGGUAAUCUAGUCCUACAAAGUGUAAGGUGUUGUCUCUUUGGUGUACCGAUUUAGCUAAAAACUCAAAUUAGUUAUCAAAUCAUCAAAAUAGUCACUCAAAUAUAUAACUUAUUAUUCUAAAAGUUCCUGAAAGAUACAAUUUAUUGUCUAAGUAGUCAAUGACCGUUAUAACGUCUAAGACUAAAUUGAUUGACAUAUAAUGAUUUGAAGACAAAUUUGAGUUUUUUGCUUAGUCAGUAACCAAAAUAAAAUCAUGUACUUUUAGUGACUAAAAGAGUGGUUUACCUCAUAAUAAUGUUGUAGUAUUUGGUGUUUCUGACAAUUAUAUGAAUUAGUGCAUGUUUUAGAAAAACCAAAUAUCAAUUUCCCUAUAAUUUGAGUUUGAGUGUCUUAUUUUAUCUAAUUUCACACAUACUGGACUCCUUUCAAAAUAAUCAAUAUUACAUUACAAACUAAAAAUAAUCAAUAUUACAUUACAAAUUAAAAAUAAUAUUUAUUUUAAAUAAUUACUUUUUAUAAAAGAAAACAUUUAUUGUAAUACAGAUGAAGUAUAGGAGUUUAAUUUUCAGUAUAAAAUAUUUUACAUUAUCAAUAUAUAAUAAUCAAUUAUUUAUAUAACUAUAGAAAUAGUUAAAAUUAAAGUUAAAAAUAUGAUGAUUAUGAUUUUUUUUAUAACAAAAAUUAUAAUUUAUCGACGGUGUCGAUAGACAUCAAAAAGUGUAUAAAUUAAAUUUACAGUAUACUAAGAAGAUACACAAUUAGUUAAAUUAACGAUAAAAAUUAAAGAUAAAAACAUAAAAUUAAUCGUUGAAUUGGUAGUGUCUAACAUAGAGACAGAUUUUACCUUUUUUUCAUCUAUAACUUUCCAUCAUUAUUUCAAUUUCUUUAGUAUCAAUAAUAUUUUAUUAAACAUACAUUGAAAUCGGAAUUUUAAUUUUUUUUUUGUCAAAACCGUAAAUGACGAAUACCAUGGACAGAGUGAUAUUUCGAAAACAACACUCUUUAAUGAGUAGUAUUGUCUCUUCUUACAUUUGAAAAUAGGAAAAUAUAAAAUUGCUGUCAAAUAGACCAUACAUAAGAUUUCGAAAUAUUUUAAAACAAUAAUAGUGAUUUGUAUUGUUUCAUCUUACCCAUGUGUUUUACAUUUGAAAAUAAAAAAUAAAUAAAAUUGCUGUCAAUUAAUGACACAUUAGUUGUCCUAUCUUGAUCUCUUUGUUUUUUGCUACUUGUACUUAGCAACACUCUUUUAACAAUUCAAUAAUAAUAAUAUUGCUGCUCAUCUUCGUACUUCAAAUGAAUAAAUAAAUAAUAAAUUUCUUCUAGAAAUGAGUAAACGAUAAGUUUGUUAAUUUUAACUUAUCUUGAUUAGAACAUACAUAUCUUACAAAGAUAUUUUUAAAGUUAAAAAAUCAGACGGAAGGGUAGGUAUAUAUGCACAAGGAGUGAAAGAUAAGUUUGUUAAUCUUCACUUAUCUUGAUUAGAACAUACAUAUCUUACUAUGAUACACUACUCCUACUUAGUUGUCUUAUUAUAAAUCCAUUUGUUAUUUUAAAAAUGAGGAAAGAGAAAAGAUUUUGUAGAUUUCAAUUUGAUAUAUGAAAUUAUAAUAUUUUAAUUUGGUCUUGUACUUUAAUAAUAAUUUCUUUUUAAAUUCAUAUAUUAUGUGAGUUAACGAUACUAAACAUAUCAUAAUGUGUCUCUUAAAUGUAAUAUUAGAUAAUUAAAAUAGGAAUUUUUACGAUACAUUUUUAAAUUGAUAUAUUUUAAUAUUAUUACAUUAAUUAGUCAAUAAUCUAAUGAUAUAAUUUCGUCAAUCAAAAAUAUUUAUGUAAUCAAUCUUUAAUAUAUAUUAACAUAGAUGAAUUAAUAAUAAAUUAACUCAAUUAUUAAUUAAUUUUUUUAAUAAUAUUAAUAUAGUUUUUCUUCUCUGUAAUAAAUUGUAUUAAAAUAGUUUUAAACUUUGUAUCACAAUCUCAAAUUUAUUUAUAAGAAUAAGUAUUUUUUAUUUAAUAAUUAGUAGUUGAUUCUAAAACAUUUUUCAUAUUCUUUCUUCCAUAAAUAUCAAUUACUAAAUUUCUUUGGUGAUGAUAUGUCAAAUAUAUGUAUCAUUGUAAGUCAUAGUCACAUAGAAAAUUCAAAAACAUUAUAUAAAGAUUAAAUUUCCUCUCCAAAUAAUGUAAGUUUAAUUUAAUUUAUUUAAAUAAUGUAAUGUAAAAAACAACGUGCUAUAAUCAUGAUCUGUCUUACUCCGUUAUUGGAGGAAUAAAGAUUACUUAAUUCAAAUGAAAGCAGACGAGAGUAGGAGAGUAGGUAUAUGCACGAGGAAAAUCCAGUAUUCCUACUUCUGCGUCUUCCUUACAAAUCACUUUCUCAUUUUUAAAAUCAGUAAACUACCAAAAUUGGUAUUUGAUUCUGCAUGGCCCUCUCAUUUUAGUCCAUUAGAACAUGAAUAUUUUAUUCUUUAGUCUUAAUUUUAUUGACAAAUAUCAAUAUUGUUAAGUUGAAUAUUAUAUCUUAGAUUUAAACUUGAGACCUCACAUCGUGUGUGUGAGUUUCUGAUGAUAUAUAUUAUCUUGUCUACAAACAAACAAAAAGAACAUGACUAUUGAAUUUGUUUGUUUACAUUGUAAAUGUUUCUCAUAUUCGUCAUUUGGUGAAUUAACAUUACUAAAUGUCGUUGACGUGUGUCUAUUAAUUGUAAUGUCGUCAAUCAAAAUAGUUUAUGACUUUGUAGGACACUAUAUAAUUAAUAUAUAAAAAUAUGAAUAAUUUUUAGUCGCUGACUCUAUAAAAUGUUUAUCAAAUUCAUCCUUUUGUGAAUAUUCACUACUAAAUAUCGAUGGCGAUUCAUAUGUUAAGUGCACUCUUGUAAGUCUUAGUUAUAGAGAGAAAAAUACAAAACUUUUGAAAUUGAUCUUAGUAUGGAGCUCAUGUAGGAUUUAAUACUUAAGUGAUGUCUUAAGAUGUUUAUAAAAUAUAUGUGUAUUGGUGUUUGUGGGACAAAGAAUACUUAUUUUAUUCACAUUACACAGAGUCAUAGAGAAGAAAAUAAAAUGCAUGAGUUACAAUGAAAUAUAUAAUAUAUAAUGGUCAAAAUAUUGUAUUUGUGUCUUAUUUUAUAUCAAAUUUUGUAUUUCAAUAACGUUACUUUAAAAAUAUAUAUGAAUUCAACAUAAUUUUUAAGAUAAUAUACUAUUAAUAUAAUUUGAUACAAAAAAAAUAUUAAUAAAAUAUGAUAGUUUCGUUUGGAUUUUUGGUGGGGUGAAAAAGAUACCUAAAUCAAUAGAUAUCAAAAUUUGAAGAAGAUUUGAUCAAGAUUUAUCUAUAACAAAAUAUGAACAUAAUCAAUUUGAAGAAUUUACAAAUGCAAUUUGAACAAAAUACAAAAAGAAUCAAUCUAAAGAAUUUCAAACUCAAUUUGAACAAGAUACAAUUCAGAAUUAAACAAAGACUAAAUUGAAACUCUAAUUUAAACUAUAAAUAGAUAAUCAAGGUUGAAGAAGCAGAUCAUUGAAAACCAGAAAAGAGUAGAAGAACUCAAGCUUAAAAUUCCAAAUUCAUUUUAGAGUUCAAAGAGAGAAACACUUGUUCAAAUGAUAAAUAUUCUCUAAGUGUUUUUUCUUAGAGUGUGAGAGUUAUUAUUACUAUCAACUUUGUUAGAAGCAAACACUUAAAGUUCCAAUCUUUUGUAUCCUAUCCAAUAGUUGUUUAGUUCCUUCUCCAAUCUGUGGUUGUUAGGAGAAGACUUGUCUUAUAGGACCAAUGUGGUUAGUUCCUCAAAAGUUUUAGGUUGUCAUGUUGUUUGGGAAGGCUGCCUUGAAGGGUCAGGUGUUUUGUAAUUCAAGGUAUUUGAAUUGUGAAUUAAAGUCUUCUGAAUAAGAGGACUGGAUGUAGCAAAGUUAGGGGUGAACCAGGAUAAAUUGAUGUGUCAAAUUAUUUAUGUUUUCAUUGUUUGCUACCUCUAAAUAUGAUUGUUUCUUAUCUAAGUAAUUUAUAAAAACCAACCUUCAUCAAAUUAGCAAAAAAUUAUCAACUUUGGCAAACACAAUUCAAUUCCUCUUCUCGUGUUUGCUCAUUCAAUUGGCAUCAGAGCUCGGUCUCAAGGCUGAGCACUGUACAGUUUUUGAGGAAAGAUCCAAGGGUUCAACAUGUCUGGUUUCAGUGAAUAAGUAGAUGAAGAAAUUAAGAUAUUCUCUGAAUUUAUUCGAUCUGAUUUAGUUACUGCUAUAAAUGAUUUUUUUUUAAAUAAGAAUCACAAAUUAUCUUAAAAAAUAAAAACACUUAGGAAAGAAAAUACAAACCUAACUGAAAAAGUUAAUGUUUUAAAGAAUUAAAGUGAUGAAUUUAAAACAAAAAAUUCAACUCUGAAAACUGAUAUUACUAAUUUUAAAAUAGAAAAUGUAACUUUGAAAACUGAUAUUACUGAACUUAAAACAAAAAAUGCAAAUUUGAAAACUGAUAUUGCUAAAAUGAAAGCUGGAAAUCUAACUUUGAAAAGUAAUUAUAGUUCAACAUCAAUUGAAAAUACCAUUUGUAAGUCUGAUAAGCAUGAAGACGUAUUUCAAGAUUUUCUUCAUAAUGGUAUGGAAAAAAGCAAGUAUGCAUAUAUGAUUUAUGGUGUUAGUAGAAAUGGUAAAAGAGGAAUAAAAUUUCAAGAAAAACUAAUUGAACCGAAGUUUGUCCCCUCUAAUGAUUUAUGUAUUAUUUGGUAUAAGAAAGGUCACACUAAAAUAUCUUGUCCUAUGCUAACCACAUGAAAAGACAAGAAAUCUUUAAGAUAUAACAAACCAUAACCCAACAAGAUUUGGGUACCAAAAGAUAAUAUGUUGCAGAUGUUAUAAGCAACCAAAUUGAAACACCAGCCAUGGUGUCUGAUCAUUGGAUGCUUGCAAGAUAUGAACGAAAAAAUGUCUAUGUUCUAAGAUCUACCAAACAAAAGCCAACUGAUUCUGGUGGAAGAAGCAGUGGUCAUAACAAUACCUACCAUACAGAACCAUAUGAUGAACCGAAAAUAUUAGAAAAAUCUAACGUAUCAAUAGAAUCAAAACUCGCAAAGAAAACACACAUAACAACAAAACUGGAACUACCAGAAGAAUCAUAAUUAUCAUUAGUUCCCAAAUUACCAGAAGAACCUGAUACUUCAGCAGAAGCAUAAGUGUUAGAUUAACAAUCAGAAUCAAAAGACUUCAUUGAACACUCCAAUAAAAUUCAUCAAGACUACAAACUUGGAUGAGAAUUCAAAUCCCUUCAUCUAGACCCUAUAAUCAGAGAAUAUGCAAAUUCAAAAUCUGAAAAACUAGAAAAGAAGAAAUAUGAAGGUUUUCAUAGUGAAACUGAAAACUGUUGACAUAUAGGUUAUAUAUUUCUUUAAAGUUAAUUCUUGUAUGAUAUUAUGUUUACUAAUAACAAGAAGUUUGAUCUUAAAAAUCAAAGCUAGAUAAGUAUUUUGUAGGUUCUAAAAAAUUUAGAGGAAUAAGGAGAUCCACAAAAUCUGAACACAAUUGCAGAAGUAGCAUACAAGUUUGGUUUUCAGAAACAAGCAGAAAUCACCAGAAACAAAACUGGUGUUUCGACUGUAUUGAUUUCAUUGUUCAAUUAUCUUAUUUAUAUUAGUUGAAGAUACUACAGGUUUACCAGAACCAGAGGAAGCAGAUCCAGAUAAACCAGAAGAUAACAAAUCUUUAGACGAUGAAUCUGAUCAAGUUAGAAAAAGUCAAGAUAAGUCAAAAGAAAGAUCUGGAUGGAAGUACAAGUCAUCUCAUCUCAUUGGAAGUGCAAGUGAUCAUUUGAGGAUCAAAUCAUCAUUAAAAGAUAUCACUUUGUUUGGCUCACUCUCAUCGAUUGAGUCGACCACUGUUAAUGAAGCAUUGGUAGAUGAUGGACGGAUUUUUGCAAUGCAUGAAGAGUUAAAUUAAUUUAAAAUAAAUGAUGUUUGGGAUCUAGUACCGAGACUAAAGAAGAAUAUUAUUAGAACCAAAUGGAUUUUCAUAAAUAAGCUAAAUGAAAAAGGUGAAGUGGUAAAAAAAAAAAAAGCAAGACUUGUCGCACAAGGCUCCAAUUAGCAAGAAGGCAUUGAUUACACUAAGACAUUUGCUCCAAUAACGAGGUUUGAAGUUAUUCGUAUCCUACUUUGUUUUGUUGCAAAUAAUAUUACAUUAUUUAAAAUGGACACUAAAUGUGAUUUUCUAAAUAGUUAUAUAAGUGAAGAAUUCUAUGUUAAACAACCUUCAGAUUUUGAAAGUGCUGAAUAUCUAAAUCAUGUUUUUAAACUUAGGAAAUCUACGUAUAGUCUAAAACAAGCAUCGAGGGUAUGGUAUGAUAGACUUAGUAACUUCUUGCUGAAAAAUAAAUUUGAAAGAUGACAUGUAGAUAAUACAUUCUUUAUAAAAUCAAUAGGAGAUGACAUUCUUAUGAUUCAAAUUUAUCUUGACGACAUAAUUUUUGGAUCUACUAAUGGCAUUCUUUGCCAAUAAUUUUAUAAAUUGUGCAGCUUGAAUUUCAAAUGAGUAUGAUGGAAUAACUUAAGUUCUUUUUAGGGAUACAAAUUCAGCAAAGUCAAGAAGGUUUAUACAUUCAUCAAACUAAAUAUUACAAACCAAUGGCUACACCCAUGCACCUUAUAUGUUCACUUGAAAAAGAUGAUUCAGGCCAAAAAGUUGACCAGAAAACCUAUAGAGGAAUAUGAUAGGAUCCCUACUUUACUUUACCGCUUCCAGACUUGACAUCAUGUUUAGAGUAUGUUUAUGUGCAAGAUUUCAAGAUGACCCUAUGGAAUCACAUUUAACUACUAUUAAGAGAAUCCUUAUAUACCUAAAAGGCAUUACCAACCUUACCUUGUUUUGCAAGAAAACUCCUAAGUACAAACCGGGUGGAUAAUGUGAUUCGGAUUAUGCUGGAGAUAAACUUGGGAGAAAGAGCACUAGUGACAACUACAUUUUUCUACUUGACAACUUAAUAUCUUGGUCAAGUAAGACAAAAACCACCAGCUGGUUGCAGUUCUUAACUACUUUGAAUGAAACAUAAACUAGAAGACUACAAAAUCUUAGAAAGCAACAUAGUAAUCUAUUGUGAUAACAUUUUUUCCAUUUGUCUAACCAAAAACUAUAUUUUACAUUCUAGAGCUAAACACAUAGAGAUCAAAUGCCACUUCAUUAUAGACUUUGUUCAAAAAGAGGUACUUAAAAUUCAGUUUGUAGACACAGAAUACCAAGGGGGUUGACAUAUUCACCAAACCACUACCUGGAGAUAGGUUUGACUUCAUCAAGAAAAACCUAAAUCUUACAUUCAUACCUAACUAAUGUUGUGAUAACUUCAAAGUAGUUAAGCUUUAUAAACGCAAUUUGAACAAAGUACGAACACAAUCAAUCUGAAGAAUUUACAAACUCAGUAUAAACAAAAUAAGAACAUAAUCAAUAUGAAGAAUUUACAAACACAAUCUGAACAAGGUACAAUUUAGAAUUAAAUAAGGACUAAAUUGGAGCAUAAUUUUAAUAUAAAUAGAUACUCAAGAUUGAAUAAGAAGAUCAUUGAAAAGUAGAAAAGAGUAGAAGAACUUAAGCUCAAAAUUUCAAAUUCAUCUUAGAGUACAAAAAGAGAAACACUUGUUUCAAUGAGAAAUAUUCUCUAAGUGUUUUUCUUAGAGUGUGAGAGUUAUUAUUACUAUUAGCUUUGUUAGAAGCAAACACUUAAAGUUUCAAUCUUUUGUAUUCAAUCCGAUAGUGGUUUAAAUCUUUAUUUAAUAUGGGGUUGUCAGGUUGUUAGGAGAAGACUUGGCUUGUAAGGUCAAAGUGGUUAGUUUCUCAAAAGUCUGGGGUUGUCAAGCUGUUUGGGAAGACUAGCUUGUAGGGCUAGGUGCUUUGUAAUUCAAGGUAUUUGAAUUAGUGGAUUAAAGUAUUCUAAAUGAGGAGACUAGAUGUAGCCAAGUUAGUGGUGAACCAGAAAUAUCUGUGUCAAAUUAUUUAUAUUUUCAUUGCUUGCUACCUUUGAAUCUGAUUACUUCUUAUCUAGGUAAUUCAUAAAUUAGCAAAAAGUUAACAACUUUGGGAAACACAAUUCAACCAUUUUCUCGUGUUUGCACCUUCACAUACUUCUCAAUAAAUAUAAACUUAUAUAGAUGUUGCAUCUUUGUUCUAUCAUUUCUCAAAGAUAACCGAUAUGUAUUCUUUUGCUUAUAAUAUGGGUGAUAUUUUUUUCGUCUUUGUUUUUUAAUAAGAGUAGAAUGUGUCUUGGGUGAAACGUGGUACUUUUUACUGAACAUUUUUUUUCUCUUGUUCAUUUAAACCCCAAGAAAAUAAUGCCACUACAAUAAAUCAGAUAUGAUGUGGGUUGUGAUGUCAACGAAUUACAAAAACUAUUCAUCAUCCACCAUCUUUCAAUGGUCUAGGCCUGAGUUUGAAUGGGCAACCACAUAUUUUGGUUGUAGUUUCUCUUAAAGGGUUAGUUGACUUAUACUUUUCACCAUUUUAACAAUCCAAUAUUAAGUAAAUGAGCUGAACAUGAAGUACAUACAAUUCAACUUGUUUGAUUUAUGAGUUGGCUCAAUAAUAUAUAUAAUACUAAAAUAAUGUUUUUCACUAGUUUUAUAUAUGUUUGUGAUAGCUAGCUAGACUUUUGGAAUAAAAUUUUGUGUCAAAAUGUUGAUUCUAUUUAGCUGAGGAUUAUACAAAACAAACAUGUAAUUAAAAAUUAGUUAAAAUAUAAUGAUAAUUAAUUUUAUUUUAAAAGUAAGAAUUUUUCAUUGACCAAAUUUAAAUCUAUAACUUUUGUUGAAGUUGUGGGAUUUUAAAGAAAAGGAGGAGAGAAAAUAAUAAGGGUUUGAAUAUUUUUGAUAAUAGCUUAAUGCUGACUUGAUUACAAAAGACUCAAUACUGAUCUCUAUUUAUAGAAAAACAUAGACCUAAUCCUAAAUAAGGAAUAAAUCAUAAUAAUAAUGAAAGAUAUUCAAAGAUAUCUCUAUGAUUAUAAAUUGAUCCUAAUAAAUAAUUUAAGAUGCAAUAAUAUAAUAUAAAAGAUAUUAUAAGAUAUUUUUUAAUAUUCUAACACACCCCCUCAAGCUAAAGCUUACUAAGCUUUAGCUUGCUACAAGAAAACAAUGUUUUUCUCCACAAAAUAAUAAAAAAAUAUGGAGAGGCAACUCAGGGAUGCAUGUGAAGUCGGAAAGAAUUGCUUUAAAUAUAGCCUAGCCAGAUAGUCUGAUUGAUCAUCAGCCUGAGAGAAAUUCAUGGCAGACAAUUGGACAAAACAAGCUCCGUUCUUCUAAAAAACUGCAUUUGGAAAGCUUCAAACCAAUAAUAAUGGAGACUCAAAAUAUUUAAACUUGAAUAUGCUUCAAGGAGAGAGGCGUGCUUCAAGGAGAGAAAGGCAAGACCAGUGCAUCUGGGACAAAUUGCCAAGAUAAAGUAAGUCAUGAAAAUAAAAGACACCGUUAGAAUAACCACAAACGGAAGAAGUCGUCACUAAUAUAAUUCAUAUGUGGAAGGGACACCACCGAAAUGAUCAUCGGUGGGAAUAGAAGCCACUGUUAUAAUAUAUUAGUAAGAACUAAAUUGCAUGACAAACAUCGAAGACGAAACAGCGCGACUCUAACGAAACGAAGUCGUGAUCAAUCAACGGUAUAAGAAAAUGCGUUCAAAACUGGAGAGAUAACGGUUGUUUGUAAUAUAUUUUCGUUGAUCAAAAUUGGAGAGUAGGGGUCGAUCUGGAACCAUCGAAGAGAAAGUAAUCGUGCACCAAGAAGAAUUCCAUCAGUUGAGUUGCAAAUCUUCCAAACCUGUCAGCUAAGAGCCUACUCAUAAGGGCUGCAACAGCUGCCACGACAAAGGCUAGAGAGUUUCCUCCACCAAAAAUCUGAUCCCUUCUACUAACAAGUGACUUGUGAGUAAAAUCAUACAUUUGCAAUAUCUUAUUAUCCCGAAAAUUAUAAGCACGAUCCAUUUGUUUCAAACACCUUUCAACAGGGUAAUCCCCAAAUUUCCCACAUGGUUUCCACCCCACAAAAUGAGUCACAAGUAGCCACCUAUGAUCACCAAAACCAGGAUGAUAAUUCUCAAUCAUCUCUUCAUAUCGAUCAACCAAAAUCCCCCAAUAACCAUGCAAAUAAUAAUGAUUCUCAAAGUAAACUUUACCACCCCAUUGUUCUUUCUAGCGCCAUGACUUUUUACCCAAAUCAUCGUUGGUUGGUUGGAGCUACCUUCAUAGGGUAUUAUGCGCUAUUAGCUCUUUAGCUCGGUUGGUUGGAGCGCCAAACCCUAAUGGGUUGUGGAAAGGUUUAUAGAAUCCUAAUAAUUUUUUUUUUGCGCAGUGAACAGUACCGCGUGAUGAACAGUGUUGCGACUGAUCUGCUGAAAAUAAACGAAAAGCUAAGGGGUAAACCGGAAUUGGGACACGGUUUACCGAAAAAAUCUCACCGAAUAUUGAAAUGUUAGAAAAGAGAAACUAUAAUUAUAUUCCCUAAUUGUUGGGAACUCGACAGCAGAAUAGAGGCGGGAUCGUUCAAAGAUGAUCGAAAUAGGUUCUAGAUACCAUGUUGAAGUUGUGGGAUUUUAGAGAAAAGGAGGAGAGAAAAUAAUAAAGGUUUGAAUAUUAUUGAUAAUAGCUUAAUACUGACUUGAUUACAAAAGACUCAAUACUAAUCUCUAUUUACAGAGAAACAUAGAUUCAAUUCUAAAUUAGGAAUAAAUCAUAAUAAUAAUGAAAGAUAUUAUAAGAUAUCUCUAUGAUUAUAAAUUGAUCCCAAUAAAUAAUUUAAGAUGCAAUAAUAUAAUAUAAAAGAUUUAUAAGAUAUUUUGUAAUAUUCUAACAACUUUUAAUUAGACAUUGAUUUUAUUUAAAAAAUACAAUUGAUUUACUGAUUUCAAAGGUCAACAAAAAUUUAAAAAAAUUGUCUUUUGAAGUAUGUGAAUUCGAGCUAACACGUUGAUCCAAAUUGUUUAUGCGCUUGAAUUAAGUCGGGUUUGGGCUAAAACAAAAGUUUCUUGUCUGAUUAUGUUGGAACUUAUAGUAUACUAAGUGUGUGUGUGUGGAUUGAAAAAAAAGUCAAGAUUCCCAAGUUUGAUAGCUUUCACACAUUGGUUAGUUUUAAAUUCUAUAAAUAUUGGAGUCUCACAUUGAAUAGUUUACAUACAUUGGACAACUUUCAACACUAGAUAGAGAGUGUUAAGCCUUUUGUGUAAAGCACAUCAAAGCUGAAUGCAUUUCUCAGCUUUUCAUAUUCUCCAUCUUCUGCUCCACACACUUCUAAACCACAUCUUCCGUUUAAGUCCAAUCAAUAUUAAUUAGUGGUCAUGAUGCCAUUGUCUUUUCUGUGUCAAAUUGAUCAUUGUAUCAUUGUUCUUUUGGUUUCAUAGUGAUCCUAAUGUCAUUGUUCCUACAAUUUUAGAAUGGUCAUAAUACGAAUAUCCCUUCUUAUGAAAUUUUGGGCUUAUGUGGUCCUUGGUUAUAGGACUUUUUAAGCACUUAUGAGAAUAAUUUUAAAAGAGAUUUAAAAGUCUAUUUCAUGAUUCCCUAACAGUUUUUCUUAACUAUGAAAAAGUUGCCUACGUGUUUAAAAUGAGAUUUCAGUGGUUUCUAAAACAGCUAAGCAAGAAGAAAAUAAUACGAAAGCUAAAAAAUUAAUCGAGUAGAAUGAAAAUAAUUUCUUAUGCAAUAAUUUUAUCCAUAAUGAACUAUCUCAUAAGUUUGGGAUGCCUUAAUAAAAAAGGUUUUUUUUAAUGAAAAAUAUAUAUAUUUUGAAAAACAAAACACAAGAUUAAGAAGAGUAAAAGAAGUGCUCAAGUAUGCUACUGAGGUAGUUGACUCUAAAAAGUAUGUUGCAAGAAGUAAAGAUUAAUGAAAAUAUUUCACAGAUGAAAUGAUACUUAUGUGCAAAGGGAAGUGGGAUAACUUUACAAGAAGACUUUAUUUAAGCAACAUCGGUAUUCCUUUCAAGUUGGAGCCAAUCCAAUGCGACAGGCCACAUGGAAGCCAAUCAUCUCCACAAUCCGUAAAAUAUUAAAUUGCAUGGAAAGGAAAACACAUCUCUGUUGGUAGAAGUUUGCUUACUCAGUCAGGUUUGGUUACAAUGAGAGAACUGUUGUUGUAGCUUGGAAUAUUACAUGACCCAUUUGGAUAUGCAUGUGUUUGUUGUUUUAAUGCUUUGGAAUAUUGUAAACACUUAUUUUUUGGAUGUUCAUUCACAUCUCAAAUAUGGUCUCCUGUAUAUGGUUGGAGUGGUUAUAACUUCAUAAUUCUCUUAUUAUCAACUUCUUACCGUUUGGACAAAAUCUUAGAGGAAAGAGAAGCAAUAUGAGAAGGCAUACAAGUGGUGCAGGGGAGCACAUGGGUGUGGGUCGACCCGUCAACUUGAUCACUCAAUCCAACCUAACUCGGUUUUUACCCGUACCCAAUCAUUUUUUGGUUCGACCCGACCUAACUCAUUGAAACUUGCUUAUAUAUGGUUUAGCUAAUGGGUUUAACAAUUUGAACUCGUCGACUCAUAGAACCGACCCGAUAACUAGUUGUAUUAUUUUAAAAAUAAAAUUUGUUUGACAGUCCUUCAACCCAAUAGGGUUUCAUUACUCUUCUUCUUUAGAUUUUCAGCAGUCGUCAUCCACCUUAUAUGCGUCCACCUUCUUCUAUUCUAGACUUCUUGAAGCCAAACCGCCGUCCACCUUCUUCUUUUGUAUUACCGACACAUAAAUGAUAUUUAUACGAAUUAAUUAUAAUAUAAGUUAUUAUCAAUAACUGAUUUUUAUAUGAAUGUUGAUGCAAGGUGUUCAUGCGUCUAGAAUAAAUACUGAAUUUUUUUUUAUUUUUUUUUGAGAGUGGGCUUCUGUAAUUCAUCUUCAUUAUCUGAGAGUUUAGCGUUUAAUUUAUUUUGGCCUUGUAAUCUCGUACAUGUCUACUCAUAUCUAAUUUGUGAACGGUCUUUUUCAAAAAAGUAAUCAAAUUUUUUAGUUAAAUACUAUUUAUUAAAAUAAUAUAACAAAGAGGAUGUUGUUUUUGAAAAAGAUGACUAUAAAUAUGCAAGUAAAAUUCAACAAAUAUCGGGAUAGUGGUGAGAUAAAAUUUUCUUUGUUUGAUGAUGUUUUUCUUGAUCCUCGUUAUAAACUUGAGUAUAUUGAGUUUUGUUUUAAAAAAAUGUAUGCAACUGUUAAGUACGAUGAUAUGAUGGAAAAACUAAAAAAUCUCAUCAUAAAUUGAUUGAACACUAUAUUAUUUUGUAUCCCAUUACUAAUGAAGCUAGUGAUUUUAAUACCUUGAAUCUCAACAUGCACUCACAAUCUAACAUUGAAAAGAAGGAUGAGGAUGAUUCGGAAGUUUUGUUUAGAUUGAACAUGAAGAAAAAACAUGGUGAGUUGCAAAAAGUAAGUUGGAUAGGUAUUUGAUAUCGUUUCAGCAAGUGCACUGAAUCGUUGCAAGUAAUAAUAAAACGGUAGUACCGAGUGUCGAACUCAAGGAUUGCGUUUUACUAUUGAAUUAUAUUUGAUUACUAGAAUUGAACAAAAAGGUUCCCAAGUUGAUUGAAAUAAUGUUUGAAAUUAACAACAAUAAUAAAAUUGAUCUUUUAUAAUGAGAAAAAUGUCAGGGAUGAGUUUCACUUCGAAUCCAACCUUGGUGUCUAAUUUGAUCCUAGUUACUGAAUUCCUUUAUUGAAUUAUUACCGAAUUCUCUUUAUUAUUCUUGCCCUAAUGUCUUAGUGACAGAACCUUUAAUUCCAAAGUAACCCAUAAUUCCUUAGUGGAUUUAAGAUUAGAAUUAGUGGAUUACUAGAAUUGAACAAAAAGGUUCCCAAGUUGAUUGAAAUAAUGUUUGAAAUUAACAACAAUAAUAAAAUUGAUCUUUUAUAAUGAGAAAAAUGUCAGGGAUGAGUUUCACUUCGAAUCCAACCUUGGUGUCUAAUUUGAUCCUAGUUACUGAAUUCCUUUAUUGAAUUAUUACCGAAUUCUCUUUAUUAUUCUUGCCCUAAUGUCUUAGUGACAGAACCUUUAAUUCCAAAGUAACCCCUAAUUCCUUAGUGGAUUUAAGAUUAGAAUUAAGCAUUACCGUAUAGAAAUUCUCUUGUAAAUUAUUGCUUUGCAACUAAUUUAAUUGGUUUCAUGACCUGCAUCUAUCCUUAGACUACAAAUUCAUGAAUUUCUCAUCUCAAGCAUUCGUAAAGUCCACUUCCGUUUCAAAAUACAAAUCGUAGAACAUUUUAAUGUUGAUCAAGCAAUAAAAAGCAUUAAGCACAGAGAUGAGAAAAACAAUUCAAUAAACUCAUUCAGAUAACUAGAAAUCAAAUCAGAAAAAUAAGGGUUUCAUCUGGUUACACUCAUCCCUAACAAAUAGGGUUUAGUUACUCAUGACAGAGAUACAAGAGAUAAGGAUUAAAGAAGAAUUACAAGAUUGAUUCCUGGAUGAUUCUUGAUAAAACUGCUCCAAUGCGUUAGAAACGGCUGUCUUUGAGUUUCUAUGCUAGGGCACAAGUCUCCCAAGUUCCCAAGAGUCAAAAAAGAUCCCUAAAACAGUAAAAAUCUGCGUUUUUAUGGUUGCUGGUGCGCGUCGCGCGCCCCAGGCGCGCGUUGACAGAACUGAAACACGAGAAAUGCGCUCCAGACGCGCGUUGACAGAACUGAAACACGAGAAAUGCGCUCUAGGCGCGCAGGGCGCGCUCCAGGCGCUCCAGGCGCACAACAUCUGCUGUCUGAUGUAGUUUGCAUUUUUCUCAUCUUUUGCGUUUGAAUUUGGUCCCGGUGUCUUCAUGAAAGUUGUAGAUAUGGAUCUUAGCUUUCAUUAGCACUUGGAGUGACACUACUUGGACAUCUAGAACUCCAGAUAUGGCUGAAAUACUCCCCAUAUAUCAUGUUGAUUUUUCACCAAAAUUCAGCACUGCACUAAAACAAAACGCAAUGUAAAAUUACGACAAAUUCCUACUUAAUCAACGAAAUAAAAACAAAUAACAUUUUAUUAACUCAAAGAACAAAAAUUAACAAAAUGUAUCAAAUAAAUCAUUAAUUUAACUGAUGAUUGAGGAUAAAUAAGACUAAAACAGUGGGAAAAUAUGCAUAUGAUGAAGAGUCAUCAGUAUUCAAAGUAUGGUGUUGAAGAGGACUCCUCUACAUUUGACGUUCUUAAAUGGUGGAAAAGAAAAACAAAUAAAUAUUAUAUUUUUUCUCGCAUAGCUAGAGAUAUUUUGGUUAUUCCAGUGUCUACUAUAUCACCUGAGUUGGCGUUUAGUACAGGAGGUUGAAUCCUCGAUUCAUUUCUUACUUCCUCAAAUGCCACUAUUUUUGAAGCUUUGAUUUGUAUCCAAAAUUGGAUCAAAUCUCAUAAAAAAAAUGAUUUAGUAGAUGAGUUGGUUGAAAUACAAAAGAUUGAGUCGGGUACGAAUGUUUAUUUUAACUUUCAAAUUGAUUUUCCUUUAUUUUUAUUUAUUCUUUUAAGCAUUUGUUGUGCUAAUGAGAUUGUGUAUUGUAUUUAAAAUUUUAGAGUUGUCUGAAUUAGUACCACUUUAUGUUGGGGUGACUGUUGCUGAGCUUAACACAAUUACUAUUACAUCUUAAGGUACUUGUUAUUGCUUUGUUUCAUGCAUAUUUUACUUAUUUAUUAUUUCUCCUUCUUUAUCUCCUCACUUUUAUUAUUGAUAUUUGAUUCUGCAGAUUCCCAAUUGUUCUCUUCCAUACUUUGAGAAAUUUGUUAAGUGGUUGGACUUGAAGUUGACAUUUGAUAAAUUUUCAUAUUUUAUUGAUUUACUAUUGGAUUCAAUUUGUUGCUUGGAUUUACGAUUGGAACUUGUUGAAUUUAUUUAUGUAUUCAAACAUUGUUGGAUUUAUUUAUUUUUGUUAGAGGUUGUUGUAUUUUUUAAAUAUUUGAAUGAUGUGAUUGAAAUUUUAUAGUUUUUUUAGACAUUUAAGUAUUAAAUAUAUUUUUAUUCAAUAUAUUUUCAUAUAAAAUAAAAAACUAGGUUACUAUUUAUGUAUAACCUGCCAACCCAACUCGUUCUUGAUCGGUUCGGGUUUAAUGAAGAAAAAAAAAAUGAAUUUAAAACUCAACUCAAAAAUAAUCGAUCGGUUCGAGUAUCGGAUUUUGUUAAAACUUGCGUAUAUCUCUAAGCUCGCUUAUGGAGUUGACUGGUGAAGCUUAUGGAUUUUGUGAGGUGGUUGAUAAAGCUUAUGAGAUUUUGAAGACCUAACACUAGAGUUGGUAACCUGACUUAAAGCUGAAGCUCAUUUUAAGGAACAUAUCUUAGAGGUUUAUUGGGACUUAAGUCAUAAGCUCAUGGAUCUAGUAGUAUUGGAAAGUUUAUUCAGUUUGGUAGUUAGUUUGUUAUUUCAAAACUUAGUUAUGCUAACAAUAGAUAUAACUACAAGUUGUAAGAUCACAAGUUUAACGCAAUGAAGUAGAAUUCGUUUUUGUUAAUUCUUCCUAAAUCAAUUUUUGCUGUUAUUUUGGUAUGACCAAAAAACUACUUUUUUAUUCUAUAAUAAUUUUAAAGAGAAAUUAUAUUUUUGAUCAUUUAUCUUAUUUAGUUAUAACACAUAGGUCCUUUAUUUUUAUUUUUUUUAUCAUUUAUCCAUAAGGAAUUAGGACAUAAAAACCGUUCUAAAUCAACAAUGGUAUUAUGACCACUCAAAAAGGGGAGAAGUGGCUCAGAAAUACAUCAAACAUAAAAGGGAGAAAAGGGAAAGUUGAUAAGCGCAUCCACCUUUGGUAUGUUUUUCACAAGAGUUUGACACUCUUUAUAUGUUGAUGGAAGCAAACCCAUAUAUAUUUUCUAUCCAAUGUGGGACUGUAGUAUUUAUAUAGUUGAAAACUAUUCAAUAUAUAAGAGUUUUCCAAUGUGGAACUUCAACAAUUUUUAAAUUCACACACUAACAUACUUUAUGUUCCAACAAUCCCACACUUGAAUUAAGAAAGAUGUUUCUAAAGUAGCGUCAAACGCUUUUAUAAGAUUUUUUUGUUAACAUAGGUGUUUUUCGACUUGAACCUUAACGUAGUAAGUAAGAUUAAGAUUCGACAAGAGUAACUCGUAGUCUUGAACUCUAUCUCAGACAUCAAACCCACACACAACCUUUUCAUAUAGUGAACGCUUUAAGAUUUCUGCCUCAAAAUUACAUAAGAAGCAGUCCGACUUCCACGUUCACUUAGGUGAGCCUAUCAAGAGUACUCAUGUAGCUAGGUACUCCACUCCACAUGGAGUAUAAAUCUCAUUAAGAGUUUCUAUUAUAUCAUCUUAUCAUCGCUUCAGUAAUCAUGCUUCUCUGAAUUAUAAUAGCAUGUUCAUCUCAUAUCAUUCAUGACUUGUUAUUGCCCAUUGAAUGGAUGGUGGUACUUAUUCCCCAAGCACCAGGUUCGAUUCCCAAAAGGCAAAAACUCGAUAUUUCCAAUGGGUGAAAAAUGGGGCGAUAAUGUAUUGAUUAACAGUGCCGGUAACCGUACGGGUUGGGCUGUUACAGUAACAACGAUUCUCAAUCUUUUCGAUGCCACGAUACUAUCGCAGUAGAUCUACAGAGCUGUCAUAGGUUUAUCUCAUAAAAGGAUCUUAUCUAGCAAACAUCUCAACUAACUCGCUUCUUCACUAGCAGUAACUAGUGUUAUCAUUUCAAACUCUAUAGUAGACUGAGUCGAUAUCGUUUGUUUCUUCGAUUUCCACGAUACAGCACCGCCGACUAUACUAAAAAUAUAGCCACUGGUUGUUUUGGAAUCAUUUGAUAAGGUGUUCCAAUCAACAUCACUUUAUCCUUCAGGGACGACAGAAAAUCUUUUCUAUUAUAACUAUGAGACUCGUGGUCUUUUUUAGGUAUCUCAUUACUCUUUCGAUAGCGUGUCAAUGCUCUAUACUAAGUCUACUGAUAAACCUGCACAAUAGUCCCACGACUUAGGCAAUGACGGGUCUAGUACAAUAAAUGGCAUACCUGAGGCAAGCAAAGAUACUCACAUAUUUAGUUUGCCUAACACCUUCACCAAUGUUCUUGAAAAGUUUUGCACUUGGAUCAUUGAUCCGCUGUCGGACACGGGUCAAAUACAAUUAAUAAAAUAUAAAUAGAGGUAAUAACUCAAAUCGUUUCGCAAUGACUUCUGUAAUAAUAAUAAUAAUAAUAAUAAUAAUAAUAAUAAUAAUAAUAAUAAUAAUAAUAAUUGAAAAUUGAAAUUAAAAAGGGUUUUUUUAGAUUUUUAAUUUAACAGAUGAGAAAAACGAUUAAUCCACUUAUUCGAGUUUCAAACCUAUCACAGAUUCUAUCAAUGAGUUUAAAUUCUAAUUUGUGAUUCUAUUCUUAUUUGACUAUAGAAUUGAUCAAACAAGCGUAAUCAAUCCUAUGUGAAUUUGGUUUCUUUGAUUGGAUUAAGCAUCACAAUCAUCAAAAUAUUACAAUUAACGAUCAAGCGUCGCAAAAUUAUAAUUCAAUUAAAUUAGAAACCGAAACCAAAUUAUGUCAAAUAAAUUUAAUCAAUCCUAUUGAAAUUCAAUUUAAACAAUCAAAAUAUCAAUAUAAUCAAAUAAGCAAGAAUAGAAUCAUGAAUCAAAAUUGACAGUGUAAACUGAAUCUCAACGUGUUGAUGAAAUUCUGAACUCGUGGAUUAAUCUUAUAAAAUUAGUCUUCCGUGAAUUUAAAAUAAAAUUGUGUAUUUCUUGUAGCAAUUUAAAUCCUAAUUUUUCCGUCUUUGAAAAGAAACAAAACUGCCAAUAUAUAGUACUUGAUAUUUGACUUUAGGGUUUAAAAACAAGUGACUCGCUAAUUAAAAUUAUUGCAAAAUACCAGAUUACGAAAUCUGCAAUUUAGGCCCAAUAAAAUUUGGAAUUGGUCUUUUCUUCCAACACAAACGUUGUAGCUCAUAUUUUUAAACACCUGUUCAUAUGCGCCAAUCCGAUAUCCAGAACUCAAGUUAUGACCUACAGAGCGAGAAAGAGUCAAAAUACAAAUAAUAAAAUUAUAAUUCAAAUUCGACCCAAAGUUUAGAAACAAGCUAAAAAUAUUAAUCUAAGCUAUAAAGAACUUUUAAAAUAUCAAACUAAAAAGCUAAAAACAUGUGCCCAAAUGCUAUGAUCAAUCAUACAGUGUGCAAGUAAGUUUACAGUCAAAAUAUUUGUACUUCUUUAGGAUCUUUUCAACAUAGUGAGAUUGGUCCAAAGAAAUUCCCUUUUUUGACCUAGUAACCUUGAUUCUGAGGAUUACAAUCGCUUAUCCGAGGUUUUUUUUAAUCAAAGUUGUUAGCAACAAUGAUUUCACAUUAUUUACAGCAUGAGUGUUUGCACCAAAUAUACGAAAGUCAUCUACAUAGAGACAUAUGAUAGUUCAAAUGUUAUUUUCAUAUUUGUAAUAAAUACAUUUUUCACUUUCAUUCACAUUAAACUCAUUUGAUAUAAUUAAGAUAUCAAGUUUUUCAUGUCAAUGCUUAGGAGCUUGUUUAAUACCAUGCAAAGAUCUAUCUAACUUACAAACCUUUUUUUCUUGUUCAUGAAUCACAAAACCUUCAAGUUGUUCCAUAUAGAUUUCAUAUUCUAGGUCACCAUUUAAAAAAGUUGUUUUGACAUCCAUUUGAGGUAUCACCAAGUUAUGAAUAGCUGCUAGUGAAAUGAGUAUCCUAAUGGAUAUUCUAGUGACCAGUUAGAAAGUGUCAAAGAAAACUAUAUUUUCUCUUUGUUUAAAACCUUUGGCUACAAGGCGAGCCUUGUAUCUAUCAACAGUUUCAUCGAGUUUUAGUUUCUUUUUCAAAAUCCAUGUAUAACCUAUCAAUUUGGUAAUUGGAGACAUCCCUAUUAAAUGCCAAGUCUUAUUAGACUCUAGAGAAUCAAUCUCAUCGUUCAUAGCUUUUUUCCCAUAAAUCUGCAUCCAAAGAUGAAAAAGCUUCUUGAAGAUUUGCAGGAUCCUCUUCUAAGGUAUAUGUUGUAUAAUCGGGUCCAUAAUCUUUAGAAACUUUGACUCUCGUACUUCUUUGAGUUUUUAUUUCGCCUUAUUUGCUGCUUUAAAUGUUGAAAGGAAUUUUAUUUUCGUAGAAGUCAACAUCAUUUGACUUUAUCAUCAUUUUUGCAUUUAGGUCAUAAAACAUAUACGUUUUGUUGUUUAUUGCAUACCUAUUGAAUACACAUUCGUAGGCUCUACUUGCAGUAUAACUCGCCUGGGAUCGAGAAUUCUGACAUAACCCAGACAACCCCAAGUUUGAAAAUAAGACAAGUUCAAUUGUCUUUUCUUCAAAAUCUCAUAAAGAGAUGUUUUGUUUUUACAUUUAGGAUCUCUAUUCAAAACAUAGCAAAUCGUCAAUAUAACUUCCCCCCACCAAUGGGAUGCAACACUAGAGUUUAGCAUACUAACAACAACUAGUUUAGUAAGUGUUUUAUUCUUUUUUUCAAUUUUAUUAUUCAUUUCAUGCAAAUAUGGUGCAAUUGUUUCAUGUAUAAUUCCAUGCAAUUUGUAAAACUCAUUAAAUGAAAUAGAGUCAUACUCAGUUCAUCUUAACCUUUCUACUAAAUUGAUUUUCAAUUUCAAUUACAAAGAUCUUAAACAUGUCAAGCACUUCACUUUUAUUAUUCAUUAGAUAUAUGAAAGUUUAGUAAAAACAAUUGUCAACAAAAAUGAUAAAAUAAUGUUUUACAUUUCUAGUUAACGUCUCAUCAAGUUAAUAUAUAUAUAUAUAUAUAUAUAUAUAUAUAUAUAUAUAUAUAUAUNNNNNNNNNNNNNNNNNNNNNNNNNNNNNNNNNNNNNNNNNNNNNNNNNNNNNNNNNNNNNNNNNNNNNNNNNNNNNNNNNNNNNNNNNNNNNNNNUAUGUAUAUAUAUAUUAAAUCUAAAGAUUCAGAUUAUAAGACUACUUAUUUAUUUGAACUUUUUGUUCUUUAUCUUGGCUAUAAAAAUCACAUUUUUUAAAAUUAUUUAAUGAUAACUUUGGAAUUAAACCUAAGUUAUUUAAGUUUGAAAUUUGUGUUCACAUGACAUAGUCUAACAUGCCAAAUAAUAAAAUCACACAACGUUUAAACAGAAGAAGACAUUCUUAAUUUCAACAAUUAAUUUAUACGUGAAUCAGUGGUGUACCAUUUGCCAACUAAAAUAUCAUAAUUAGAGAACUGGUGUACAAAUUUGCCCUUAUGUCUUUAGGACGUUUCGUGACACUGUCCAAAUUGUGCAAGGCGAACUAUUAAACACAAAAUCCCCAUGAUAAAACAACUCAAACAAAACGUAUAGAAGUUCUACUGCACCGUAGAAAACCGUUAUUAAAUUACACCCUCAAUAUGGUGGUUAAAGUCAUUCUCAAUAUGACGGUUAAAACCACUCGUAAUAUGGUAUUAUGACCACUCAAAUAAAUAGGACUACGGUACUAAAAUCACUCUUAAAAGAUUGUAGUAUUAGGACUACUCAAUAAUCGAAGGGACUAUGACACAAGAACUGCUCUAAAACGACAGUAGCAUUAUGACCACUCAACAACCAUAGGGACUAUGACAUAAAAAUCACUCUAAAACGAAAGUGGUAUUAUGAUCACUCAAAAAUCGAAGGGGAGAAGUGACUCGAAAAUACAUCAAGCAAAAGAGAGAGAAAAGAGAAAGUUGAGAAAUGUAUCCAACUUUGGUGUGCUUUUCACAAGAGUUUGAUAUUCUUUAUAUAUGGAUGGAUGCAAACUCACAUAUAUUUUUUUUAUAAAAUGUGGGAUUUUAGUAUUUAUAGAGUUGAAAACUACUCAAUAUAUAAGAGUUUUCCAAUAUGGGAGUUCAACAAAUUUUAAAUUCACACACUAACAUACAAUAUGUUCCAUCAGUUUUAAUUCAAUUAGAAGAAGGAGGAGCGAACUUUAAAAGAGAUGGUUGUUGAGAACGACAAGUGUGAUGGAGUUGAAGGCAUGAGGUUACCAAGGCCAUAAAUAAUAAUUUUUGUGCGUUUUUAUAAUAAUUUGUCAUACUUUAUCACAUUCAAUGUGACAUUUUCAACACAUAGCCUUCAUAUUGUGAUAUCAUCUUAAAAUUUAGGUUGGGUCAUACAUAACCUUUACAAAACUAUCUUAAGUUUAGGACUACACACUAUUUAGAAAUAUUUUGUUUGGCCAUAUAUCAUCAAGUGUAGAAGUCUAAACAUUCAACUUGGGUCAUAAAGUUGAAGAUUGAUGUUAUAUUAAAAAUAUACUUGAAAUUUUGAUACUAAAUGUUAUAUUAAAAAUAUACUUGAAAUUUUGAUACAAAAGAAAAUUUGAUAGAUUUAAAAUUGGUUUUCUUAAUUUGAGGGCUGAUGAUGAAGGUGAUGCUAUAUUGAUUAAUUUUUAUUUUUAAAAAGCUCAAUUAUAAAUUUUUAUUUCUUAUGGAUUUUUAGGAUGAGGAAGAUGUGUCUGAAGUUUAGUUAAGGUGAUAUAUGAGGACAAGUCUAAUUUGAAUUGUCCACUCACUUGUGACGUUUAUAAAAUUAGAAGAUAGUUCAAAUAACAAUCAAAAUAUAAGAAUAUAGUGUGGAAAUUCUAAAUCUAGAAAAAAAAUCACGAUCAUUGUUUAAUGACAAUUAAAGAAAAAGACUAUGUAAAAGUUAUUACAAUAUAUAGACUUCUCUGAAACUCCCCUUAACUCCUCUACAUCCAAAUUCUCAAAAGCAAUUACUUAAACUAUAUCUUCCAACACUCCAAAACAAGAGUAUUAGGAAAAAAAAUGAAUCAUAAACAAACUUAAAGUGUUUAUGACAAGUACAAUUUGUUAUGGAGAACUAGAGCCAUAUAUAAACCCUUGGCCUCCGUCAUCCUUUAUAAUUCUAAGAAAUCUGCUACUUUUCAACUUUCUUCAAUUUCAAUUAAACUCAUCAAUAAUAUCAAGUAUCUUACCCAAGUAUAUUACAGUUCGAAUAAUAUCAAAGAAAGAGAAGAUGUUUAAAGUUUUAGGGCAUGUAAAAUAUUAUGUUGAUUUGUAAUUGUCUUCAACAGUCACUCUAUUUAUUUUAUACUAAUAUAUUAUUUUGUACUUUAAAGGUUCACAAAUAGGAGUCAUUAUUUUUUGAUAAAUAUUUUUGGCAUAUUAUAAUUGGUGAAACAUAACAGUUUUUAUUCAUAUUUGUCUCAAAAUCAAACAAAUACAUGAAGAAUUGGCUCUCUGAUCAUAGUUGUUGGUACAAGGCACUUAUUUUAUAGGUGAGCAUACAAUAGAGAUAAUAGCCUAAAUACUUCACUUGGAUAGAAUCAAUACUAGUUUCUUUUGAGAAAGUUCUGGAACCAUUGUGCAGAAACCUUUGGAUAUCUUUUUAAUCCAUCUUCGUAAUCUAUGUAGUUUAAUCCAAACCGAAAUUGAUAGCCAUCACCCCAUUCAAAAUCGUCAAAAAGUGACCAAGCGUAAAAUCCCUUAACGUUUGCGCCAAGCCUGUAUUUUUGUAAUACAUCAAAUGUCACGAAAUGAAAAUCAUAAUACCUGAGUAUAUAGUAAAAAUUAUAUUUUCAAAAUAAAUAAGUAAAAAAUUAUUACUAAUUAAAAUGAUAAUAAUAUUUGUUUUAUAAUGGCUAUCGUGUUUAUUUGAACUUCUUUUGCAAAAAAUUUACUAUUGUGGUGACACGUUAUAAAUUAAUUAUUAUAUAAUAAUAUAGUUUUUUUUUUACUUUGAAUAAAAAUAUAAAUGAUGAUAAUAAUAAUAAUAUAGUAAAAAACUUACUGGAUUGCAGAACGAAUGUAGUAUAAAUGACGAUAAAAAUAGUCAAUUCUAAAAGUAUCCAAAAGAGCUUCAUUUAGAGGAAGAGUUGGAUCAUUGAAUUCAUCAAUACCUGUAUAUAGUAUAUAUAAAAGUGUCAUGUACAUUAUUUAAAAUCUAAGCAUGACGCUAUAUGACAUGGCCAUUCAUCAUAAAUUCUUAAUUAUAAUUGCAUUCAAGAAAAUUUAUAUGUUUUUUUUUUGUGUACUUACCAUUUUCAUGAAUGUAAAUUGUAGGAUUGUUGUAUUUCUCCUUAAUAUGUAACAAAAGAUGUCGAAGUCCCCUUGGAUAAACAUAUAACCAACUUGAAGCAGCCUGACAUAAUUAUAAUUAUUUGUUAUGUCUGACAUCAAAAGAAUUUAAAUUGUAACAAACUGAUUGAUAACUUGUUACUAGAAAAAUAAAAUUAAUGACAACAAAUUAGAGAUGAAUAAAUUUUCUUAGUCCCAAAUUUUGUGUGAAAUAGAGACAUACUUCACAUUUUUCUCUCUAAUUUUUUGUCAUUAAUUAAAUUUUUCUAAUUGUUAUUUUGGGUUAUCAGACACUUACCCUUGGCCCUAUGGGUAUCCCAUUUUUUUCAACUGCAAUUGCGAAAACAUACAUAAAAUAAUCAAAUUCAACAUAUUUAUCAUAAUUGUUAAUGAGCUAACAUGUAGAAUAUAUAAGUGUACUUACAUGAAGCGUUAGUUCUAGAGUCUGUUGUGUAACUAGGUGGCACAUCCUCUUGAGGAGGUACAUUACUAAUAUAAGUAGAAGUGUAAUAGUUUAAGCCAAUAAAAUCAAAAGAACCCUUGACUAAACGUGAUUGCUCUGUACUGAAUUUCGGUAAUCGAGUUUUCACAAUAUUUUGCAUACUUAGAGAAUAGUUUCCAGUUGUUAGUGGUUCCAUAAACCUGAAACCAAUAAAAUAAAUUAAAAAUUAAUUAUCAACUUGUUAAUCUUUUCUACUCCUUAUUUGUACUUUGAUAUUGUAAGUAUAUCUCAUAGUUUUAGUAUGUCCAAAACUUUGAAAACCACGUGAAUUCAAAAAAAUAAUAAUAAAAAUCACGUGUCAUAUUAGAAAAAUGCUCCUAAGAGUAUUUUAAUACACAUUUUAAAUAACGAGUAAAUUGAAGAUAUUAAAUUGAAUUAAUAAUGAAAGAUAUUGUUAGUUACCAUCCAAAUUGGAAGUCAAGAGCUCUCCUCGUAGCCUUUUCAUCUUCUAUAUUGUCUCCUAGUGGUAAGUACCAGUUAGUUACCAACGUUAUACCAAUCUUGCCAUUUUGUUUUGCCUGCACAUAUAUACAUAUGCAACAUUAAAAUUUAAUAAUAAUAAUAAUAAUAAUAAUUUUGACAAAAAAUUAAAUCAAGACAGAUUUUUAUUCAAUAAUAGUUUUUAAUUAUUUUUUUAGAGUAACAAUUCUUUAAUUAUUAAUUCACGCUAAAUAUUUAUAUAUUAAUCAUUCUCCCCUUUAAAUAUGCACGGACCUACCAAACUCUAAAAUAAAUUAAAUUAGAGAUAGAUUUGAGUUGUGAAUAAAUAAGAAAUAAACCUGAUAUUUGGUCCUAUACAAUCGUACACCAUGUGCAUGAGCAAGAAUUUGAUUGUGUGUAACUGUAUAAGGUUCUGUGCCAGAAUUUCCACCUAGACAUGUUGGAUCUGAACAUCGACCAGGUGCUGUUGUCCCAAUUGCAUAACCACCAUUGCUAAACAUCCAUGGCUCGUUAAACGUAACCCAAUACUUCACUCUAUCUCCAAAUUCUUGAAAACAAAGAUCCGCAUAAUCUCGAAAAUCAUUUCUGAAACAUUAAUAUAGAGUUCAAUAAUCAAUUAUUUUAACAAUUCAACAAAUCAUAUCUAUCAACCCAUUGAAUUUGCUACACUAGGAAAAUGAGAUUUAAAAUAGAGACUCACAUUAUGCUAGAGUUUAAUAAACCACCGUACUCGUCUUCUAAAGCUUGAGGAAGAUCCCAAUGAAAAAGAGUUACUAAUGGUUGUAUACCUACAAUUUUAUUGAGAAUAAUAAUAAUUUUUAACAAAUAAUUACUUAAUAAUUAAAAUGAUAAAAUAUAAAAUGCUAUAAAUAGUUUGGACAGUGUAUUUUGUAUUGUACCAUUUGCAAUUAGUUCAUUGAUGAGAUUGUUGUAAUAUUGUAUUCCUUCAGGAUUUUUUCCUCCGCUCAACUUUCCUUCUAUUGAUACGUAAUAAGAAAAAAGGGGAUGUUAAAAUAGUUGGUGUCAAACAUAGCAUCCAACUAGAUAAUAUUAUAUAUAUAUUUUAAAAAUGAUCGUUGAUCAACGUUUGACUUACUUGGAAGUAUUCUCGACCAAGCAAUUGAAAAUCUGUACGAGUCCAAAUUCAAAUCUUUUAUGAUUUGCACAUCUUCCUAUAGAAAUAAAUACAUAACAGUUAUUUGUUAGAUUAGUUCCUAAACCUUCUUUAUAAAUAUAUCUAGAUGAUGAUACUUAAUGGAAUAUAUAUAUAUAUAUAUAUAUAUAUAUAUAUAAAUAUAUAUAUAUAUAUAUAUACAAACAUACGUGUAAGUUUUUCUAGAGAAACAUUAGAUCUCAAUUUAACUUUAUAAACAUUCAAACUACUUCAUAUUGAACUAAUUAAUUCAUCCCAUAAUAUUAAUUACAUAACAAUAUUAUAAAAUUAUUCUUAUUAAGUAUUUAAUAUUACAUAUUGUCAUAGAUAUUUAAUGGAGUAUAAGAAAUUUAAGAAUAAUAUACAUAAUAUUAAUUAUAGCAUAGAAUUAAAGUUAAAUAAAUAAUAUUAUAAUUUUGACUCCGUAAAUAACAUUAUAGAAAAAACAAACAUAAACACUAAGGUGACGGAUUGAAGAACAACCUUAUAACGGUGAUAUUGAUCAAUGGCGACGUCUCCAUUGCUUCCAUUCGUUAUUCUUUCUGCACAUAUACAUCGUAAAUAUGCAUAUUCACAAUUUAUAAUCGAACAAGAAAUAACAUUAAGCUUUGUUUGAAUUUCAAAUCAAUAGUUUAUCAUCGAAUUUAAUUGAAAAAUAACGUCCAGCUCUUUUUAAAUUUCAUUAUGAAAAUACAAAUUAUAUUUAAUUGAUAAUAAUAAUAAUAAUAAUAAUAAUAAUAAUAAUAAUAAUAAUAAUAAUAAUGCCAAUAAAAAAAAUUAGUUACUGUAUUUAAAUAGAUCAACAAAAAUAUAUAAUUGCUUCAAUAAUAUAUAAGAGAAAUUACAUUUACCUCUCCCGAGGUCACCUUAAAUGACACUAAAACCCUAUUUAAUUUUUAAAAAACACCUACCUUCUCAAGUUUUUUACAAUUUAUUAAUUAAACUAGAAAUGUAAUAUAGCAAUACAAUAUUCUCUGUAUGUUAAUGAUUAAGAUAGAUGAACAAAGAAAUGAACCUGGAUGAUUAUGAGUAUAGGUAUCCCAAAUACUUGGUCCUUUACCACCUUCAUUCGCCGCACCUUCAUACUAUAAGAAAAUCAACUCAAGUAAAUAUUUUUAGCUUUUCAUAUAUUUUAUAUUAUAUCUCAACUUUGUAACAAAUUUUCUCAUUUAUUUGUUUUUCGUUUUUUACAAUUUUUUACAAAUAUAUAAAUUUAUUACAAGCAGCUCAUAUAAAGGUGUUGCAUGCAACAAUCAUGUAAAGAUGUUAUAAGUAUCAUAAGUGCAACUAUUUUUUUUCUUUGUAUUUGGGUUAUUGGCGUUUACAGCAUUGUAACUACAUACAGUCACACGUAUUUUGAUGGUUCGGUCAACAUCGUACCCAGAUGCUGUAUCUAAAAUAUUAUAAAACAAAAGGUUAUAAUAUUUUGUAAUGAUAAAUAGUAUAUAAAUUUAAAUCACAAUAAAUUUUUUUACAAUAACUUAAAAUAGAAUAUUUAAAAAAUGUAUGAAUUAUAUAAUAUAUAUUUUAGAUGUAAUAAAAAUCAAAAUCUACUUUAAAAUUUAGAUUAUGAUUUAAUAUUUAGUGAACAUAUGUUUUGCCAACACCGAUUCUAAUUCACUCUUCACCCAAUUUAAAUUACUCUUCUUAAUAUUUAGUGAACAUAUGUUUUGCCACUAGAUUCUUUUAAGAAAUGUGUUUUAAAAUGAAAAUGAAUUUAAUAAAUAAUUUAUCUAAAUUAAAAUAUAAAUAAAAAUAAUAAUUUUUUAAUUAUUAUUUUUAUUUAUAUUUCAUUUCAAAAUAACGUGUAUUAAAAAAGCGAACAUGCAAUGCAUGUUAGGAAUUUUAACCUACCGAAAAUAUUACAAGGAUAAAUGUACUAUUUAAUAAAAAAAUACAUAAAUAAAUUAAAUUUACACCUGUGACUUCAGUUAAAAUAUAAUACUUUAUUUGCAUUAUAGGUAAAUUUCAUCAUAAAUACUUUUUAAAAUUGAUGAAUUUCCGACCUUAUAUAUGUAUGUCUUCUCUAGUCUAAAUUAUUCAUUAAAAAAAUAAAAAUUGGAAGAACUAAAUUUAUAUAUGCAUUACUUGGUAUGCUGAUCCCCCUGCCCCAAAAAUGAAUCCAGCAGGGAAACUUUUCCGAGAGAGGUUACCGAUUUCAAGAAGAGGAUCUUCUGCAUUUGUGAAAGCAAAUGUUAAUGAUAUCACAACAAAUAGAGCAAACAUAUUAUUGGCCAUAGUAAUCAUA